AGCACAAACGCUGCCAGGGGGCCCGUAUGUACAGGUGUCCUCACCCUUACCUGAGGGACAUCUCUGGCUGAGAGAACUGGGAACAAGCAGCUGGAGGGCGACGCUGCGCUGCAGAGAGAGGCUGUAGAUCAUCCUGCUGCUCCUGGAAAGUGACCGGGCAGUCUCGCCAUGCGAAGUAUAGGAAUAUCCUCCAGAUGGACGCGGAAGGCGGUAAAGCUCAAAUAGCAGAGGAUGUGGACAAUCAUCUGACACUGAAAUGACAGCAGACUGCAGCAGAGGAAGGACCCGUUAUAAAUAAAGAGUACGAAAGAGAGAGAGUAAGAAUGAAGAUUCCUGAUUAAACUUUCACUUACCUUCAUAAUAGUUUUCUUUUAGGUGGCCACAUGUGGUGAGUCUAACCAAUCACAAGAAAGAAUAGAAAGGGUUUUAA